rnacentral:rRNA from 1 species
UACGUAGGGGGCGAGCGUUGUUCGGAUUCAUUGGGCGUAAAGGGUGCGUAGGCGGUCGUGCAAGUCGGAUGUGAAAUCUCAGGGCUCAACCCUGAAACUGCAUUCGAUACUGCGUGGCUAGAGUGUUGGAGAGGAGACUGGAAUUUACGGUGUAGCAGUGAAAUGCGUAGAUAUCGUAAGGAAGACCAGUGGCGAAGGCGAGUCUCUGGACAGCAACUGACGCUGAGGCACGAAGGCCAGGGGAGCAAACGGG